GUGGGAGGGGAUGGGUGAUAAGGAGUUAUGAGAAGAUUAAUAGUGGCACUUCCAUUGAGGACGGACGGAGACCACGAUUGUGAGCGGCUUCAAUCCAUGCUUACCCUGUUGGAGGGGUCCCUACAGGACUGGAACCAUCAGACCCACCUCGGAGGGGUGAGGGAAGAGGGGGAGACCGCUAGCUAGGUUGAGGGGAGCUGCAUCUCCCCUCCCUGGCUUGGUAUACUCCCCUGGAAGACAGGGAGAAGCGGCAGUUUUAAUGGCUGCCCUGAAGACGGGAAGCUACCGGGACUUAAGUUUGUGCUGGAGAGGUGAAGUGAUGAGCAGCAUGUAUCCAGACAAGAGAAGUGGAACCUUUUGUUUUAAUAAC